rnacentral:rRNA from 1 species
UGUCAUUCAACUUUAGUGGCGCAAGGGUGAGUAACAUGUGGACAACCUUCCAUAAAGCGUGAGAUAGCUCACCGAAAGGUGAAAUAAUAUCACAUACUGCCUUCGGGGUAUCCCCGAAACGCAAAAGCCGCGUUAAACCGGCGCUUUUUGAUGGGUCCGCACUCUAUCAGCUAGUUGGCGGGGUAAAAGCCCACCAAGGCUAUGACGGGUAGCUGGUCUGAGAGGACGACCAGCCACACUGGAACUGAGACACGGUCCAGACACCUACGGGUGGCAGCAGUCGAGAAUUUUUCUCAAUGGGGGAAACCCUGAAGGAGCGACGCCGCGUGGAGGAUGAAGGUCUUCGGAUUGUAAACUCCUGUCAUUGGGGAACAAAGUCGAGCUUGUCUCGGCCUGAUAGUACUCAAAGAGGAAGAGACGGCUAACUCUGUGCCAGCAGCCGCGGUAAUACAGAGGUCUCAAGCGUUGUUCGGAAUUAUUGGGCGUAAAGGGUGCGCAGGCGGCUUGGUUAGUUAGGUGUGAAAACUCGGAGCUCAACUCCGAAAUUGCAUUUAAUACUACCAAGCUCGAGUGCUGUAUAGGAAGCUGGAACUUACGGUGUAGCAGUGAAAUGCGUAGAUAUCGUAAUGAAGACCAGAGGCGAAAGCGAGCUUCUGAGCAGUUACUGACGCUCAUGCACGAAAGCCAAGGUAGCGAACGGGAUUAGAUACCCCGGUAGUCUUGGCAGUAAACAUUGCACGUUUGGUGCGGGCGGGGUCAAGCCCUUCCGUGCCGGAGUUAACACGUUAAACGUGCCGCCUGGGAAAUACGAUCGCAAGAUUAAAACUCAAAGAAAUUGACGGGGGCCCGCACAAGCGGUGGAGUAUGUGGCUUAAUUCGAUGCAACGCGAAAAACCUUACCCGGAUUUGACAUGUAUUGCUAAGGUGCUGAAAAGUGCCGAGGAUAGCAAUAUCCACCUUGCACAGGUGCUGCAUGGCUGUCGUCAGCUCGUGUCGUGAGAUGUUGGGUUAAGUCCCGCAACGAGCGCAACCCUCGCCCUUAGUUGCCAGCAUUAAGUUGGGCACUCUAAGGGGACUGCCGGUGAUAAGCCGAGAGGAAGGUGGGGAUGACGUCAAGUCCUCAUGGCCCUUACGGGCUGGGCUACACACGUGCUACAAUGGUGGUGACAGUGGGCAGCGAGACCGCGAGGUCGAGCUAAUCUCCAAAAGCCAUCUCAGUUCGGAU